ACGAAGGGUGCUAGCGUUGUUCGGAAUUACUGGGCGUAAAGAGCGCGUAGGCGGUCUGUCAAGUCAGGGGUGAAAGCCCGGAGCUCAACUCCGGAAUUGCCUUUGAAACUGUCAGACUAGAGUGUCGGAGGGGAUAGCGGAAUUCCUAAUGUAGGGGUGAAAUCCGUAGGUAUUAGGAGGAACACCGGUGGCGAAGGCGGCUAUCUGGACGACAACUGACGCUGAGGCGCGAAAGCGUGGGGAUCAAACAG
rnacentral:rRNA from 1 species